CGCCGCAAGUUUAGAAGCUUGCCCUAGGUCUGGCGCCCUCCAUUAUGAAGUAUGACGCAAAAGCCCAGAGACACCACAAGCCCCAAAAUACAAGCACCUCAAGGUAGAGGAGACCCCACAGCGGAGGCAAGCGGCACGAUGGGUACCGUUCGGUCCCUACACAGCCUCCCGAAACCCUGCCCGCCGGCCUUUGUGCGCAUCGCCCUGGGCCGCCGGGUGCGCCGCGCGCCCUCUCCGAGGCGCCAAACUGCGCUCCCGCCGAACGUGCACUGCGCGUGCGCAAGGGUGGCGUUGAGCCUCGUUUUGUGUCCCGGGCGUCGCUCGCUAGGGGGCGCUGUGCCCUCCCGCCAGUGGGGUUUAAAGCGCUGUGCGUGCGCAGAAAGAGCCACGCCCAGGUUCCAAGGGACGCGAACGGCUCCCGGGACGAAAAGGAGAGUGACAGCCGAGUUCUCACAGGAGUGAAGCCACGUGGCGCCGGAGAGCGCGGCGGAAGUAGUAGUGAUGACAAUGACAGGCUGGCGUAGCAGAACUGCGCCACAGAAAUGAGAAAGUGGCUAGAGUACACGCCUAACACUCGCGAGGCCCUUGGGGUCCCUUCCCAGCGCCCCAAGGUAAAAGCAUGGAGGAAGUGACUCAGCCUCUUCUCCCUAGGUGACUUUUACAAAAACAAGAGGAACGGAACUCCACAAACUUCGGAAAGCGCAUGCGUGUCCCAGCCCGCUCCUUUUCCCUGGUUGGACGCGGGAAGGCAGGGUUGUCGCUCUCUCUGCGUCGAUCCGUCCCGAUCAGAUCCGGAAAUGGAGGCAGGACAGAGUACGCAGUUUCUUUCCCUAUCGAUGGGCGAGUGCGAGGUCUUUGUAUAAAAACAAAGAAAUAAAUAACCUUCAGAUCGCAAAGAAAAAAAGAAAGGUUAGUGCUGCCUUUCGGAUUCAUCAGAGAAAAGGCCUGUUGCUGAGGGUGACAGUGGUGACUAUAGAGACUCAAUGUCGGUGUACUGAGAGCAAGUGAGUGUGGGUGCUCAGGCCUGAGUGGGACAUCCACAUCAACACCUGCCAAGGCCCAGGGAGCUUCACGGAAGAGGACUCGGAGAGAAGAUGAGAACAAGGCGAUGAGGGGAAGUGCUGCGGAACACCGUUUCCCAGGCAGAACAUGGCCACUGCACUCCUAAUCGCUCAGCAACUGAGAUGACUUGAGUGAGACCUGCAGAAGACUGGGCCCGUCAGCAUCCCAUCAUGGAUGGGUAAGACUGUAAGCUCUCAAGUCUUGUUCCAGUGUCAUCUGCCUGCCUGCUGUUACGCUCCCAUGAUAAUGUUCAUGGACUUAAUGCCUGAAAAUGUAAGUGCCCAAUAAACUGUUUCUUCUUUAAGUUGCCUUUACAUUUUCUUCACAGCAAUGGAAAAGUGACAAGACACAUAUGUGCAUACAGACAGACA
rnacentral:lncRNA from 1 species